rnacentral:rRNA from 1 species
GCAUAUCAAUAAGCGGAGGAAAAGAAACUAACAAGGAUUCCCUUAGUAACGGCGAGUGAAGCGGGAAGAGCUCAAAUUUGAAAUCUUCAAGGUUCUACCUUGACGAAUUGUAGUUUAAAGAAGUGUUUUCUGUUAGAUGAGUAGCAAAAGUUCCUUGGAAUGGGACAUCAUAGAGGGUGAGAAUCCCGUAUUUGGUUAUUCAUUCUAGCUUUGUGAUACACUUUCAAAGAGUCGGAUUGUUUGGGAAUGCGGUCCAAAAUGGGUGGUAAAUUUCAUCUAAAGCUAAAUAUUGGCGAGAGACCGAUAGCGAACAAGUACCGUGAGGGAAAGAUGAAAAGAACUUUGAAAAGAGAGUUAAACAGUACGUGAAAUUGUCAAAAGGGAAGCGUUUGACACCAGUGUUGUUUUUCCGAAAAUCAAUUACGAAUGGCUUGAUUUUGUGUUGUAUUGACCUUAUCAGCUUUCUGCACUUUUUUCGAGUCUUUCUUAAUGCACUUUUCGGUUAACAAGUCAACAUCAAUUUCUUUUGUUGUAAAAGAGUAUUCGGAAGGUGGCUUUCUUUUCGGAGAAAGUGUUUAUAGCCCUAUACUUCUACAAUCGGAGAGAUUGAGGUCUGCAGCGUAGAUCCUUCGGGGUUAGAUACAUUUGUGCUAAGUUGUAGCUUUUCAUAGACAACUUGUUGACUAUGUUUAGUCAUGCGGCUUACUCGCUUAUGCUAUUUUACCUACGCUUAGGAUGUUGACAAAAUGGUUUUAAACGACCCGUCUUGAAACACGGACC